rnacentral:rRNA from 1 species
GAUGAACGCUGGCGGCGUGCUUAACACAUGCAAGUCGAACGAACCUUCGGGUUAGUGGCGGACGGGUGAGUAACGCGUGAGAAUCUGCCCUCAGGAGGGGGAUAACGGUUGGAAACGGCCGCUAAUACCCCAUAUGCCGCGAGGUGAAAUGAAUUUCGCCUGAGGAUGAGCUCGCGUCUGAUUAGCUAGUUGGUGUAGGUAAUGGCUCACCAAGGCAUCGAUCAGUAGCUGGUCUGAGAGGAUGAUCAGCCACACUGGGACUGAGACACGGCCCAGACUCCUACGGGAGGCAGCAGUGGGGAAUUUUCCGCAAUGGGCGAAAGCCUGACGGAGCAACGCCGCGUGAGGGAUGAAGGCCUCUGGGC